rnacentral:rRNA from 1 species
UACGGAGGGUGCAAGCGUUAUCCGGAAUCACUGGGCAUAAAGCGCACGUAGGCGGUCUGUUAAGUCAGAUAUGAAAGCCCCCGGCUCAACCGGGGAACAGCAUUCGAUACUGGCAGACUCGAGGAUGGUAGGGGUGAGUGGAACUCCAGGUGGAGCGGUGAAAUGCGUAGAUAUCUGGAGGAACACCGGUGGCGAAAGCGGCUCACUGGACCAUUACUGACGCUGAGGUGCGAAAGCUAGGGUAGCAAACGGG